rnacentral:piRNA from 1 species
UGACAAACUACACCUUAAGCUCAGAGCC